rnacentral:rRNA from 1 species
UACCAGCACCCCGAGUGGUCGGGACGUUUUAUUGGGCCUAAAGCAUCCGUAGCCGGUUCUACAAGUCUUCCGUUAAAUCCAACUGCUUAACAGGUGGGCUGCGGAAGAUACUAUAGAGCUAGGAGGCGGGAGAGGCAAGCGGUACUCGAUGGGUAGGGGUAAAAUCCGUUGAUCCAUUGAAGACCACCAGUGGCGAAGGCGGCUUGCCAGAACGCGCCUCGACGGUGAGGGAUGAAAGCUGGGGGGAGCAAACCGG